AUGAGGGUGAGACGAAUGAAGUCAAAUCCGCAAUGGAAGAAAUUGAGUCGGAGCGGAAUCGAAGCUCGAGCACGCGAAGAAAGAAGCGAGGAAGUGGACCCGAUUCUUUCCUUUGCAUUAAACCCGUUGCAGUUUUUUCUGGAGAAGCCUUGGUUGUUUGAACAAAAAAAGCCCCCUUGGACUGCUUUCAUGAUGGGCCUUCAGCGCCUCAUUCUGCUUCUUCAGCGCCACCCAGAUCCGGACCGCACCACCCCUUAA